rnacentral:rRNA from 1 species
AUAAGCUUUGAUCCGGAGAUUUCUGAAUGGGGAAACCCACCCUUAGGGGUAUCGUUAUCUGAAUACAUAGGGUAACGAGGCGAACCGGGUGAACUGAAACAUCUCAGUAGCUCGAGGAAAAGACAUACUAUCGUGACUCCGCUAGUAGUGAUGAGCGAACGCGGACCAGGCCAGUGGUUCAAAUUUAAUAAUUAAAAUAGUAUGGAAAGACUAGCCAAAGAAGGUGAUAGCCCUGUAUAAGUAAAAAAAGUUUGAAUCCUUGAGUAAGGCGGGACACGUGAAAUCCUGUCUGAAUAUGGGGGGACCACCCUCCAAGCCUAAGUACUCUCUAACGACCGAUAGUGAACUAGUACCGUGAGGGAAAGGUGAAAAGAACCCCGAUGAGGGGAGUGAAAAGACCUGAAAUCGAAUGCUUACAAACAGUCGGAGCGGAAACAGUCCUUGAGAUUGAUUAUCCGUGACGGCGUACCUUUUGUAUAAUGGGUCAGAGAGUUAGUUUAUCGUGCGAGCUUAAGCCGUUAGGUGUAGGCGUAGCGAAAGCAAGUUUUAAUAGAGCGAUUUAGUACGAUGAAUUAAACCCGAAACCGAGUGAUCUAUCCAUGGCCAGAUUGAAGGGGCAGUAAGAUGCUCUGGAGGAUCGAACCCACUAAUGUUGAAAUAUUAGGGGAUGAGCUGUGGAUAGGGGUGAAAGGCCAAUCAAACUCGGAAAUAGCUGGUUCUCCGCGAAAUCUAUUUAGGUAGAGCGUUAUGUGAUUACCGUUGGGGGUAGAGCACUGGAUAGGCUAGGGGGGUGCGUAACUUUACCAAACUUAACCAAACUCCGAAUACCAGCGAGUACAGCAUAGCAGACAGACUACGGGUGCUAAGAUCCGUGGUCGAGAGGGAAAGAGCCCAGACCACCAUCUAAGGUCUUAAAAUAAUGACUAAGUGUGAAAGGAUGUGAAAGGACCAUAACAACUAGGAGGUUGGCUUAGAAGCAGCCAUCCUUUAAAGAAAGCGUAACAGCUCACUAGUCUAAAUAAGUCCUCUUGCGCCGACAAUGUAUCGGGGCUAAAGCCAUUUACCGAAGAUGUGGAUGCGUAACAUUAGUUAUGCGUGGUAGCGGAGCGUUCUGUAGGCCUGUGAAGGCAAACCGUAAGGGUUGCUGGAGGUAUCAGAAGUGAGAAUUCUGACAUAAGUAGCGAUAAAGAAUGUGAGAAACAUUCUCGCCGAAAGUCCAAGGUUUCCUGCUUAAAGCUAAUCUGAGCAGGGUUAGUCGGCCCCUAAGGCGAGGCUGAAAAGCGUAGUCGAUGGGAAUCAGGUUAAUAUUCCUGAACCUGUGGGAAGUGACGAAAGACGUAAUUUGUAUGUCCUUAUUGGAUUGGAUGUGCAAAGAAGUUUUUCCAGGAAAUAGCCCCACAUAAGACCGUACCCGAAACCGACACAGGUGGACUGGUAGAGUAUACCAAGGCGCUUGAGAGAACUACUCUGAAGGAACUCGGCAAAAUGCAUCUGUAACUUAGGGAGAAAGAUGACCCAUUCUUAGGCAACUAGGGAUGGGUGGCACAAACCAGGGGGUAGCGACUGUUUAUCAAAAACACAGGGCUCUGCAAAGUCGAAAGACGAAGUAUAGGGCCUGACGCCUGCCCAGUGCCGGAAGGUUAAGAGGAGAUGUGCAAGCAUUGAAUUGAAGCCCCGGUGAACGGCGGCCGUAACUAUGACGGUCCUAAGGUAGCGAAAUUCCUUGUCGGGUAAGUUCCGACCCGCACGAAUGGCGUAACGACUUCCCCGCUGUCUCCAGUGUAGACUCAGCGAAAUUGAAUUCCCCGUGAAGAUGCGGGGUACCGCGGUUAGACGGAAAGACCCCGUGAACCUUUACUAUAGCUUCACAUUGACAUUGGGUAAUUCAUGUGUAGGAUAGGUGGGAGACUUCGAGGCUGCGUCGCUAGGCGUAGAUUAGUCGUCCUUGAAAUACCACCCUUGGA